AUAUUAAAUCAGGUUGCCAGCUUUCAACUACCAGUAACAUCCUAACCACAUUGCAAAUUGUGGAAAUUACUAAGAAAUCAUUGCAGUAAUAAAAAGUUAAUAGUUCCCCAUUUAGAACAUCACUGAUAUUUCCUCAGUGCCAGGAGAGUACUCUGGUUUCUCUUACUCUGUAAAGUGUAGCUAUAGUCCACAGGCCCAUGAGUAAGUACAUCCAUAAGUACAAAAAGAAGGUCAUUUGCAGGCGGAAAGGGAAAUUAUAGAAAACAAUUUCAGAUGAAAUAAAACUACUUUUUCAGACAGAGGAAAGAGUGUUCAGUACAGGUUCCUGAAAUACAUCAGUCCAGUGAGUCUUAAUUAUACCAGUACAUCCCUAUAGGAAUACAGAUAAGGGAUAUGGUUUUUAAAGAUAACAUCAACUCUGUUUACCAAUAAUACAGAUAAAAGAAAUGGUAGCAUUUAUCUUUUUCAGUCAAAUGGAGGUCUUUACCACACCCACAUAAAUGUGUGUGUGUGUGUGUGUGUGUGUGAGAGAGAGAGACUUUUAUCUUUCUGUCCUACACGCCACAUUCACAGCUCAACAAGCACUCACUGCCUCGCAAAUGUAAUUUCCUUUUCUGUCCCCUUCUCCCAAAUCAUCUAAGUGAAACUAUCACACACAAAAAGAUACUUUUAAAAAUGGAAAUGUAAAAAGGUCUUGAAUCACUGAUCCAGGAAUGCCAUUUUUAUUAGACCAGGAUAGAAAUAAUGAAUUGAAACCUGGUGUCAAAACUGGGACUCAACGUCUGGUCCCUCCUUAUCAUGCUAAAAUGUAGACGGUUAAGAGAAGAAACUUACAGAAAGCAAUGAAGCAUCUCAAAUAUACUUGUAUGGAGAAACAGUUUUAAAGAGAUGCAUUAAAUGUAUUUUGUUAUACAUUUCACAGCAGGGGCAGAGGUGGGAUACUCUUUCGUAGCCUGAAUUCAAAUUGUUCAGCUAUAUGAUUAAG
rnacentral:lncRNA from 1 species